rnacentral:rRNA from 1 species
AAGUGAACGGCUAGCACGGACUUCGGUCAUGGUGGCGAGUGGCGAACGGGUGAGUAAUGUGGCUCGGAACGAAGUCCCUAAGUAGCGGGGGAUAACUACGCGAAAGCGUAGCUAAUACCGCAUACGCCCUUCGGGGAAAGCGGGGGACCUUCCGGGCCUCGCACUAUUAGAGCGGCGAUAUCGGAUUAGCUAGUUGGUGGGGUAACGGCUCACCAAGGCGACGAUCCGUAGCUGGUUUGAGAGGACGACCAGCCACACUGGGACUGAGACCUGGCCCAGACUCCUACAGGCAGCAGUGGGGGCACCGGACAAUGGGGGAAACCCUGAUCCAGCCAUCCCCGCGUGUGCGAUGAGGCCUUCCGGGUUGUAAAGCACUUUUGUGAGAAAAGAAACGGCCGCAGGAUGUCCCAGUGCAACUGACGGUGCCUGCGAAUAAGCACCGGCUAACUACCGUGCCAGCAGCCGCGGUAAUACGUAGGGUGCAAGCGUUAAUCGGAAUUACUGGGCGUAAAGCGUGCGCAGGCGGUUCCGGAAAGAAGAUCGCGAAAUCCCGAGCUCCAACUUUGAACUGCAUUUUUAACUACCGAGCUAGAGUGUGUCAGAGAGUGGAAUUCCGCGUGUAGCAGUGAAAUGCGUAGAUAUGCGGAGAGGAACACCGAUGGCAGAGGCGACCUCCUCGGAUGUUACUGACCCUUCAUGCACAACAGUAAGGGAGCAAACGGGAUUAGAUACCUGGUAGUCCACGCCUAAACGAUGUCAACUAGCUGUUGGGGCCGGGCCUUGGUAGCGCAGCUAACGCGUGAAGUUGACCGCCUGGGAGUACGGUCGCAAGAUUAAAACUCAAAGGUGUGGGGACCCGCACAAGCGGUGGAUGUGGAUCAUUCAGUGCAGCGCCGAAAACCUUACCUACCCUUGACAUGUCUGGAAUCCCGAAGAGAUUUGAAGGUGCUCGCAAGAGAACCGGAACACAGGUGCUGCAUGGCUGUCGUCAGCUCGUGUCGUGAGAUGUUGGGUUAAGUCCCGCAACGAGCACAACCCUUGUCAUUAGUUACUACGAAGGGCACUCUAAUGCGUGCCGGUGACAAACCGGAGGGAAGGUGGGGAUGACGUCAAGUCCUCAUGGCCCUUAUGGAGCAGGGCUUACCACGUCAUACAAUGGUCAGGACAGAGGGUCGCCAGCCCGCGAGAGGAGCCAAUCCCAGAAACCCGAUCCGUAGUCCGGAUCGCGGUCUGCAACUCGACUGCGUGAAGUCGGAAUCGCUAGUAAUCGCGGAUCAGCAUGUCGCGGUGAAUGCGUUCAGGUCUUGUACACACCGCCCGUCACACCAUGGGAGUGGUUUUACAGAAAGUAGUUAGCCUAACCGUAAGGAGGGCGAUUACCACGGUAGGAUUCAUGACUGGGGUGAAGUCGUAACAAGGUAA